AUGACUUGGGUAGUUAUAGCUAUGUUGUAUUUAUGCUGGAAUUACAAGCGUGACAGAAUUACAAGUUUCCGAAAGCAAGGCACGAAGAAGGAGAAGCCGGUUAUCCAACACCCAACUGACCCUAACGCCACCCAGGCAGAGCUGCCUGUGCCCCAGCCACUCUUUGAUGAGCGCUCCUUGAACCUCUCCGAAAAAGAGAUUGUUGACCUCUUUGAGAAGAUGAUGGAGGAUAUGAACCUAAAUGAGGACCGCAAGGCCCCCCUGCGUGGGAAGGACCUGAGCACCAAGCGAGAGAUGGUGGUCCAGUACAUCUCUGCCACAGCCAAAUCUAUAACUGGGAGCAAAGUUACGGGUGGGCUAAGGAACAGCAAGCAUGAGUGUACGCUGUCGUCACAGGAAUACGUACAUGAGCUGCGCUCCGGAAUCGCUGAGGAGAAGCUCCUCAACUGCCUGGAGUCUCUGCGUGUCUCCCUGACCAGCAACCCCGUCAGCUGGGUGAAUAACUUCGGCCACGAGGGUCUCGGCCUGCUCCUGGACGCCUUGGAGAAGCUUCUCGACAAGAAACAACAAGAGAGCAUUGACAAGAAGAACCAACACAAACUCAUCCAGUGUCUCAAAGCCUUUAUGAACAAUAAGUAUGGCCUGCAAAAGAUACUUGGCGACGAGCGAAGCCUCCUUCUUCUGGCAAGGGCCAUCGAUCCCAAGCAGCCGAAUAUGAUGACGGAGAUUGUGAAGAUUCUGUCAGCUGUCUGUAUUAUUGGAGAGGAGAACAUCCUGGAUAAGAUCCUGGCAGCCAUGACCAUCGCAGCCGAGAGGAAUAACAAGGAGCGAUUUGCUCAGAUCGUAGAGGGGCUGGAGAACCACGACGCCCAGCAGCUUCAGGCGGCCUGCAUGCAGCUGAUCAACGCCCUGGUCACCUCCCCGGAUGACCUGGACUUCAGGAUACAUCUGCGGAAUGAGCUCCUGCGCUGCGGCUUGAAGAAGAUCCUGCCCGAGCUGAAAGAGACAGAAGAGUUGGACAUACAGUUGAAGGUGUUCAAUGAGAACAAGGAGGAGGACUCUAUUGAGCUGUCUCACCGGCUCGAUGACAUCCGUAAUAAUGAAAUGACUGAUCCAUUUACAGUAUACCAUCUUCUGUCCAACAUGGUGAAAGACACAACCUCUGAGCCUUACUUCCUGUCAGUUCUCCAGCACCUGCUGCUCAUUAGGAAUGACUACUACAUCAGGCCUCAGUACUACAAGGUGAUCGAGGAGUGCGUGUCCCAGAUUGUGCUACACCGGAGUGGGAUGGACCCGGACUUUGGCUACCGGGAGAGGCUGGAUGUAGACUUCACUGUCCUUAUCGACCAAUGCGUGGAUAAGGCCAAGGUUGAGGAGAGUGAACAGAGAGCAACUGAAUUCUCCAAAAAGUUCGACGAGGAGUUCAGCGCACGACAGGAGGCGCAGGCCGAGCUGCAGAAACAGGAGGAGAAAAUCAAAGAGCUUGAGGUACAGAUCAGUACCCUGCGGAGCCAGGUGGCUGCUGGUCCUGGGUUGCCUGCUCCACCACCACCCCCUCCACCCCCACCUCCACCUGGGGCAGGGCCGCCUCCACCCCCUCCCUGUCCAGCGAUGAUGCCGCCGCCUCCGCCUCCGCCCGGCUGCGGUCCUCCUCCACCGCCCCCUCCGCCCGGCUGCGGUCCUCCUCCACCGCCCCCUCCGCCUGGCGGAGGUCCUCCGCUUCCUCCUCCCUUCCCUGGGGCGGUGGCUGUCCCCCCACCUCCACCUGUGAUCAAACUGCCUUAUGGCCUGGAGCCAAAAAAGACCUACAAACCUGACGCGGUCAUGAAGAGGGUCAACUGGUCGAAGAUAGUGCCUCAGGAGAUGGCAGAGAAUUGCUUUUGGAUCAAAGUCAAAGAGGAGAAGUUUGAGAACCCGGACCUGUUCGCCCAGCUCUCGCUCUUCUUCUCGUCCAAGUCCAGAGGUAAGCGGGCCUCCUGUUCCUCCAAACCAAUGACACAAUUUAAGAAAAAAGCGAAAGAGCUGCGAAUCCUAGACGCCAAGACAGCCCAGAAUCUGUCAAUUUUCCUCGGAUCAUUCCGGCUGCGUUAUGAAGAGAUCCGGGACAUCGUGCUGGAGGUGGAUGAGGAACGGCUGAGCGAGGCACUGAUCCAGAAUCUGAUCAAGAACCUCCCUGAACAGAAGGAGCUGAGUGCUCUGGCUGAACUGAAGGGCGAGUAUGAGGAGCUGUGCGAGUCUGAGCGGUUUGGCAUUGUGAUGAGCUCAGUGAAGCUGCUACGCCCCCGUCUGAACGGCAUCCUCUUCAAGCUGACGUUCGAGGAGCAGGUGAACAACAUCCGGCCGGACAUCAUGAACGUCACCUUCGCGUGUGAGGAGGUGAAGAAGAGCGAGGGCUUCACCAAGCUGCUGGAGCUGAUCCUGCUGGUGGGGAACUACAUGAACGCCGGCUCCAGAAACGCCCAGACCUUCGGCUUCAACAUCAGCUUCCUCUGCAAGCUUCGGGAUACGAAGUCGAUGGACCAGAAUACAACACUUCUGCACUUCCUGGCUGAGAAGUGUGAGGAGAAGUAUCCCGAGAUCCUGAAGUUCCCUGAUGAGCUGCAGCAUGUAGAGAACGCCAGCAAAAUGUCUGCCCAGAUCCUCAAAGCCAGUUUGGACACGAUGGAGCGUCACAUCCAGAGGCUGGAGAAUGACAUCCAGAACUUCCCCAAGACUGAGGACAAACAGGAUAAGUUUGUGGAAAAAAUGUCCAUAUCCUUCACAUGCUACUCCCGCGAGCAGUACGAGAAGCUCUCUACCAUGCACAAGAACAUGCAGAAGCUCUACGAGAGUCUGGGGAGCUACUUCGCCUUCGACCCCCACACCAUCAGCAUCGAGGACUUUUUCGGGGACCUGGCCAACUUCCGCACCCUCUUCAUGGACGCCAUGAAGGAAAAUCACAAAAAGAGGGAGAUGGAGGAGAAAGUGAAAAGGGCCAAGAUGGCAAAGGAGAAAGCCGAGCGUGAAAAGCAGGAGCGUCAGCAGAAGAAGAAGCAGCUGAUCGACAUGAACAAAGAAGGAGAUGAGACAGGUGUGAUGGACAGCCUGAUGGAGGCGCUGCAGUCUGGCGCGGCCUUCCGUGACCGCAGGAAACGAACCCCACGCACUGGUGAGAUUCCCCAAAUGAACCCCACGCGCUGGGGAAGCAAAACAGGACACCUGGUGGAGGUGCCAUGCUGA
ensembl:lncRNA